rnacentral:rRNA from 1 species
UUGGAGGGCAAGUCUGGUGCCAGCAGCCGCGGUAACUCCAGCUCCAAUAGCGUAUAUUAAAGUUGUUGCAGUUAAAAAGCUCGUAGUUGAAUUUCGGGAUUGACGUGAUGGUCAUGCCUUAAGGGGUAUGAACUGUUACUGUUGAUUUCUCACCUUCUGGAGAAACUUGAUGUCCUUUAUUGGGUGUCUUGCGGAUCCAGGACCUUUACCUUGAAAAAAUUAGAGUGUUUAAAGCAGGCAUUUUUGCUCGAAUACAUUAGCAUGGAAUAAUAGAAUAGGACGGCAUGGUUCUAUUUUGUUGGUUUCUAGGAUCACCGUAAUGAUUAAUAGGGAUAGUUGGGGGCAUUAGUAUUCAAUUGUCAGAGGUGAAAUUCUUGGAUUUAUUGAAGACUAACUACUGCGAAAGCAUCUGCCAAGGAUGUUUUCAUUAAUCAAGAACGAAAGUUAGGGGAUCGAAGACGAUCAGAUACCGUCGUAGUCUUAACCAUAAACUAUGCCGACUAGGAAUCAGACGAUGUUAAUUUUUUAAUGACUCGUUUGGCACCUUACGGGAAACCAAAGUGUUUGGGUUC